AGUCGAGCGAACGGACGAGAAGCUUGCUUCUCUGAUGUUAGCGGCGGACGGGUGAGUAACACGUGGAUAACCUACCUAUAAGACUGGGAUAACUUCGGGAAACCGGAGCUAAUACCGGAUAAUAUUUUGAACCGCAUGGUUCAAAAGUGAAAGACGGUCUUGCUGUCACUUAUAGAUGGAUCCGCGCUGCAUUAGCUAGUUGGUAAGGUAACGGCUUACCAAGGCAACGAUGCAUAGCCGACCUGAGAGGGUGAUCGGCCACACUGGAACUGAGACACGGUCCAGACUCCUACGGGAGGCAGCAGUAGGGAAUCUUCCGCAAUGGGCGAAAGCCUGACGGAGCAACGCCGCGUGAGUGAUGAAGGUCUUCGGAUCGUAAAACUCUGUUAUUAGGGAAGAACAUAUGUGUAAGUAACUGUGCACAUCUUGACGGUACCUAAUCAGAAAGCCACGGCUAACUACGUGCCAGCAGCCGCGGUAAUACGUAGGUGGCAAGCGUUAUCCGGAAUUAUUGGGCGUAAAGCGCGCGUAGGCGGUUUUUUAAGUCUGAUGUGAAAGCCCACGGCUCAACCGUAGAGGGUCAUUGGAAACUGGAAAACUUGAGUGCAGAAGAGGAAAGUGGAAUUCCAUGUGUAGCGGUGAAAUGCGCAGAGAUAUGGAGGAACACCAGUGGCGAAGGCGACUUUCUGGUCUGUAACUGACGCUGAUGUGC
rnacentral:rRNA from 1 species